ACAAGGAGAGUUUUACGUACACGCGUUUCUUUCCUUCACAAGUGAAUUGGGCUGCUAUUUAGGGCGCUUAGCGGAUAGCUCUUCCACCGCUGCCGGCCGCGACCUUCUUCCGCAACCGCAAAGAAAACAGAUUCGUGCAAAGGUGAGGCUGUUGAUCGUCCCUCACAUGGCUGAGCCAACCCGUCCGUCGUCGCCACCGCCACUGCCGGCACGUGAAGAUGAUAUACAUGUUCAUCACGAUGGAAGUAUCACUUUCGAACGUGGUAGCGAGACCGAGACCUCGGAAUAACUCAGCUGGACGGCUCGAGCAUAUGACGAGGCAACAUCGGAGCAAACCGAGGCCCGUCAGACUGUCAAGGAGCGCGCUGAUGUGUUUCUACAUGUUCCUGUUUGAGCCUCCAAGCGCCCUGUUAGGAUAGUUUAGUCCUGAUGUAUAUAUUCCCGUUCUAUAAAGAUUGUUCUUGCAUAUUUACGAUGUAAAUAAAUGUAAAUAGAUUCAUGUAUAAAAAUGUACAUAUAUUGGCUUCUGGACUCAUCAAAAUACAUGUUACAUACUUCUUCA